rnacentral:rRNA from 1 species
GAUGAACGCUGGCGGCGUGCCUAAUACAUGCCAGUCGAGCGAACAGACGAGGAGCUUGCUCCUCUGACGUUAGCGGCGGACGGGUGAGUAACACGUGGAUAACCUACCUAUAAGACUGGGAUAACUUCGGGAAACCGGAGCUAAUACCGGAUAAUAUUUUGAACCGCAUGGUUCAAAAGUGAAAGACGGUUUUGCUGUCACUUAUAGAUGGAUCCGCGCUGCAUUAGCUAGUUGGUAAGGUAACGGCUUACCAAGGCAACGAUGCGUAGCCGACCUGAGAGGGGGACCGGCCACACUGGAACUAGGACAAGGUCCAGACUCCUACGGGAGGCAGCAGUAGGGAAUCUUCCGCAAUGGGCGAAAGCGUGACGGAGCAACGCCGCGUGAGUGAUGAAGGUCUUCGGAUCGUAAAACUCUGUUAUUAGGGAAGAACAAAUGUGUAAGUAACUAUGCACGUCUUGACGGUACCUGAUCAGAAAGCCACGGCUAACUACGUG